ensembl:misc_RNA Metazoa_SRP Metazoan signal recognition particle RNA
GCCAGGCAUGGUGGCGCACACCUGUAAUCCCAGCUACUCAGGAGGCUGAGGCAGAAGAAUUGCUCGAACCCAGGAGGCAGAGGUUGCAGUGAGCCGAGAUCACACCACUGCAUUUCAGCCUGGGUGACAGAGCGAGACUCUGUCUCAA